GAUCAUUGUCGAAUCCUGCAAAGCAGACGACUCGUGAACUCGUUCAACCACGGGGCCUCGAGCGAAGGGUUUGCCCCCUCGCCCGUUGCCCUCGGCCGGCUAGCGCCUCUCCGGUGCUAGCUCGUGCAAAAACAACAAACCCCGGCGCGGAAUGCGCCAAGGAAUACUUAAAUGGAUUGCCUUCCCUCGGCCAGCCCGUUCGCGGUGCGGUCCGAGGGAUCGAAGGCGCCUGUCGAAUCUAAAACGACUCUCGGCAACGGAUAUCUAGGCUCUCGCAUCGAUGAAGAACGUAGCAAACUGCGAUACUUGGUGUGAAUUGCAGAAUCCCGUGAACCAUCGAGUUUUUGAACGCAAGUUGCGCCCGAAGCCAUUAGGUCGAGGGCACGUCUGCCUGGGCGUCACGCAUCGCGUCGCCCUCCCCCUUCCCUUUCCCUCUCGAGGGUGCGCGAGGGACGUGUGGGAGGGCGGAAAAUGGCCUCCCGUGCCCAUUGUGCGGCCGGCCUAAACACGAGUCCCUCGCUACGGACGUCACGACAAGUGGUGGUUGAACCCCUCAACUCGAACGCGAGUCGUGCGACACCCCGUGGCCGAGGAGACUGAUUGACCCUUCAGCGAGCCACUCUCGAGGUGAGCUUUGCCACGACCGCGACCCCAGGUCAGGCGGGACUACCCGCUGAGUUUAACAUUA
rnacentral:rRNA from 1 species